AAUGACUCUCGGCAAUGGAUAUCUCGGCUCUUGCAUCGAUSAAGAACGUAGUGAAAUGCGAUACUUGGUGUGAAUUGCAKAAUCUCGUGAACCAUUGAGUCUUUGAACGCAAGUUGUGCCCGAGGCCUUGUGGCCGAGGGCACGCCUGCUUGGGCGUCAUUGC
rnacentral:rRNA from 1 species